rnacentral:sRNA from 1 species
GUGCCAUGGCGGAGCCUGUGGGGAAGCGGGGCCGCUGGUCUGGAGGUAGCGGUGCCGGCCGAGGGGGUCGGGGCGGCUGGGGCGGUCGGGGCCGGCGUCCUCGGGCCCAGCGGUCUCCAUCCCGGGGCACGCUGGACGUGGUGUCUGUGGACUUGGUCACCGACAGCGAUGAGGAAAUUCUGGAGGUCGCCACCGCUCGCGGUGCCGCGGACGAGGUUGAGGUUGCGCCCCCGGAGCCCCCGGGGCCGGUCGCGUCCCGGGAUAACAGCGACAGUGACAGCGAAGGGGAGAACGGGCGGCCCGCAGGACCCCCGCGGGAGCCGGUCAGGCGGCGGCGGCGGCUGGUGCUGGAUCCGGGGGAGGCGCCGCUGGUUCCGGUGUACUCGGGGAAGGUUAAAAGCAGCCUUCGCCUUAUCCCAGAUGAUCUAUCCCUCCUGAAACUCUACCCUCCAGGGGAUGAGGAAGUCGGAGCCCCUGCAGAGUGUGGUGGACCACAUGGCCACCCACCUUGGGGUGUCCCCAAGCAGGAUCCUUUUGCUUUUUGGAGAGACAGAGCUAUCACCUACUGCCACUCCCAGGACCCUAAAGCUCGGAGUGGCUGACAUCAUUGACUGUGUGGUACUAGCAAGUUCUCCAGA